rnacentral:rRNA from 1 species
GACGUAGGGCGCGAGCGUUGUCCGGAUUUAUUGGGCGUAAAGAGCUCGUAGGCGGCUUGUUGCGUCGUCCGUGAAAACCUGGGGCUCAAUUCCAGGCUUGCGGACGAUACGGGCAGGCUAGAGUUCGGUAGGGGAGACUGGAAUUCCUGGUGUAGCGGUGAAAUGCGCAGAUAUCAGGAGGAACACCGGUGGCGAAGGCGGGUCUCUGGGCCGAUACUGACGCUGAGGAGCGAAAGCGUGGGGAGCGAACAGG